UACGUAGGUGGCAAGCGUUAUCCGGAUUUAUUGGGCGUAAAGGGAACGCAGGCGGUCUUUUAAGUCUGAUGUGAAAGCCUUCGGCUUAACCGGAGUAGUGCAUUGGAAACUGGGAGACUUGAGUGCAGAAGAGGAGAGUGGAACUCCAUGUGUAGCGGUGAAAUGCGUAGAUAUAUGGAAGAACACCAGUGGCGAAAGCAGCGUACCGGCAUCCAACUGACGCUGAGGCACGAAAGCGUGGGGAUCAAACAGG
rnacentral:rRNA from 1 species